GCACUUCUGCUCUUGCCUCCUCCUUGAGCUUGGGCUAGGCUGAUGGAGAAUUAUUGACCUACACAUGCUUAUCGCUAAUUAGUCAUGUGAAAGAGAUCUGCCUGGAUUAUCAGAGGCAAUGGGACAUGGAACAGGAGGAGGAACAGCAGGCAAGAACCUGGGAGCAGUUCUACAGAGCAGGAGGAGAAAAAUGAAUGAAAGAAAGGGACAUAAAAGAGCCAUUGACAAAUCCUGAGACAAAUAAGUAAAUACGAAGAGAAGUCCUGCAAGAGACUGAGGAAAACAAAAAAAAACAAAAAAACGCAGUGCUGUAGAAGGAAUUACCAAGAAAGGAGACAUUUUGAAGAGGAAGAAAACAGCCAACCAUCUAAAAUACUACUGAAAUCGAACAAGAUGGGGAUGAAUAG
rnacentral:lncRNA from 1 species